rnacentral:lncRNA from 1 species
GUGCCUGGCCGCAUCCCAACCGCACCUCUGCCCUGAGGCCACCUGUCCUAAACCGAGGAGGACUCUAGUGGUAGUGGCUGGCGGCGUUGGAGGUGGAUGGUGGAACCCAAGGCCCGACACUUCCCGCGUUUCUUCGGGCGCCCUCCGCUUCUCCUAACCCAAGGCCUCACCCUUCCCGGCCCUCUGCUGCACGGGAAAUAGGACAUCCUACUGUCCUCAGCCUGGAGGCCCAACUCACCGCAUGCACCUUACUUCGGUUCCUCCCGACCCCUGAGCCCCCACAGAAUGGCAGAUGGAGGAGGAAGCCCCUUUCUGGGACGUAGAGAUUUUGUCUACCCUUCCUCAGCCCGAGAGCCUAGUGCCUCUGAAAGGGGUAGCAGCCCUGCGAGG